rnacentral:rRNA from 1 species
AACGAACGCUGGCGGCAGGCCUAACACAUGCAAGUCGAGCGCGCCUUCGGGUGAGCGGCGGACGGGUGAGUAACGCGUGGGAAUAUGCCCUUCUCUACGGAAUAGUCCUGGGAAACUGGGGGUAAUACCGUAUACGCCCUUUGGGGGAAAGAUUUAUCGGGGAGGGAUUAGCCCGCGUUGGAUUAGGUAGUUGGUGGGGUAAUGGCCUACCAAGCCGACGAUCCAUAGCUGGUUUGAGAGGAUGAUCAGCCACACUGGGACUGAGACACGGCCCAGACUCCUACGGGAGGCAGCAGUGGGGAAUCUUAGACAAUGGGGGCAACCCUGAUCUAGCCAUGCCGCGUGAGUGAUGAAGGCCUUAGGGUUGUAAAGCUCUUUCAGCUGGGAAGAUAAUGACGGUACCAGCAGAAGAAGCCCCGGCUAACUCCGUG